rnacentral:rRNA from 1 species
AUGGUCUGCCGCCCCACCAGCUAUGGGGGUUUGGGUGUUCUUAACACCGACAAAUUUGCUCGUGCUUUGAGGCUCAGAUGGCUUUGGUUUGAAUGGAAAGAGCCGUCCAAGCUCUGGGUUGGCCUGGGCAACCCUUGCACCGAGGAGGACCGUGAUUUUUUCUACGCCUCCACUUCCAUCAUCGUGGGCAAUGGGGCUAGAACGCCUUUUUGGGACUCCCCCUGGCUGCUUGGCCGCAAGCCGAAGGACAUUGCACCUCUCGUCUUUGAGGCCUCGAGGAGAAAGAACUGGAAGGUGCGAGAGGCUAUUACACAGAAUGCUUGGAUGCUUACGAUCAGACGAGACAUCACCAUCACUGGCCAGCAUGUGCAGGAAUUUUUCACCCUCUGGAUGCUCAUCCAUGACAUACACCUCGACAUCCACUCUGAGGAUGACAUCAUUUGGAAGCACUCUUCGGAUGGCUCAUAUUCGGCGUCCAUCGCAUACAAGGCACAAUUUCUCGGUUUGACGCUUUCUCCCAUGGACUCCAUGGUCUGGAAAAUGUGGGCGCCCCCAAAGGUCAAAUUCUUCUCUUGGCUGGCCUUACAAGAUCGGAUUUGGACCGCCGACAGGCUAAAGCGACGUGGCUGGGACAAUUGCGGUCUUUGCUCGCUCUGUAAGCAGGUGCAGGAGCCGGGUGUCCACCUAUUCGCCAAAUGCCGCUUCACCUUGAGGCUUUGGCUGAUGCUCAUUGACAAGUAUGGGCUCGCGCAUCUGGACCCUUCUGACUGGCACCUUGAGGACUCCCUCCUCUCUUGGUGGGACAAGCGCACCAAUUCGAGCAUUCCGGAUCGUCGAUCCUUGGCCUCCCUUACCAUGCUCGUAUCCUGGACAAUUUGGAACGAAAGGAACGCUAGAGUCUUCCGCCACAAAGAGACGCCACCACCAAUCCUUCUCAAGCUUAUUAUAGAUGAGGCCAACCUAUGGGUUACUGCAGGGGCUAAACAAUUAGGGAUAAACAAUUAG